rnacentral:lncRNA from 1 species
GCCCUUAAGACUGAAGGAAUCAGGGCUGGAGAGAAGGCUCAGUGGUUAAGAGCACUGGCUGCCUUUCCAAUGAUCCAGUUCGAUUCCCUGCACCCACAUGGCAGCUCCCACCUGUCUGUAAUUCCAGAAGGAAGGAAGAUUAAGGAAGGAAGGAAGGAAGGAAGGAAGGAAGGAAGGAAGGAAGGAAGGAAGGAAGGAAGGAAGGAAUGAGUCCUGAGACCACAGCUACCCAAAUCAGGAAGGCUCCACACUGAUGCCAUUGAACACCACCAGUGUGUUCAGAAGACGUCAUGGUCCAGUGUUCAAGGCUCUGUCUACACAGCAGAAGGAAGAUGAUCCCCUUUCCAUUUCUCCCACAGGGAUGCACCAGGACCAACAGGAAAUUGCACCUCAUCAUGGACAACAGCAAAAGCACAGGGCAGAAACAGCGGCCUGCUCUCCUGACUCUGCGUGUACCCUGUGUAUCCUCAAACAAGCCAUCUACAAAACCUACUGGUUUUAAAGGUAGACGUGACUACUGAAACUCCAUUCUGGGGCACGAAGGACAGUGGUUAAAGUCCACACAGUGACAUGGAAAGAUAGGAUAACUCGGGUCUCUGAGGACUUUGUGGAGUAAGACCAUCACAGAAAUCCUAGAUGGAAUUGCCUGUGUCUGUCACUUGAGGAAUGCAAACCUAUUCAAGCUACUGUCACCUUGAACUGUCCAUUGUCUAUCACCUACCAUAACUCAGACACAGUUUGCCACCACUGCUAAUGUCAUGCCAGAACAGCCUUCCCUGCAAAGAUGCCAUGCAAGAGAACAGGAAGGAAGAGUCUGAGAGUCAACGCCAACCACAACCCUCAAGACAGCUAUUAUAAACUGGAUAUUUUUAUCCAGUGGGCUCCCAGUACCCACAAUCCAGUAGCAUGAAAUCCAUGUUCACAGUCAAAUCCACUAUAGGAAUUAAUCAUAUCAUGAAUCAUUUAUUUAGUAUUGACUUCAAAGUACCUACCGCAUCCUGUAGCAUGAAUAAUAAAAACCCGGAGACAGAUGUUGGGGUUCCAGCUGAAGAUCAGAGAAGCAAAGCAGCCAGCCAGUAGCUCUUACCUCUACCAAGGCUGAAAUGAAGAUCCUGUCUUCCCUGUGACUGAAAACUGAAUCUCACAUGAGACCCUUUGCAUUUCCUUACAUUGUCUCUAGUAGUGGGGUUACAGGUGUGAGAGCUUUCUCUUUUUGACUGAUUCACUCUCAGUAGCCCAGGGUGGUCUUGAACUCAGAGAGAUCCAUCUGCCUCUCUCUCCUGGGUCCUGGGAUUAAAGGCGUGUGCCACCAGUGCCCAGCUUCUAUGGCUAACUAAUGUGCCUGGCUUUGCAUUCUGAUUCCCCAGGCAAGCUUUAUGAAAUCAUAAACCAUAUAUCACCUCACACCCCACAUCCCAAGCGUUCAGUCUAUGUGGGAGGUAAGACAUGGUCUCAACCCUCGAGUUUCACAGUCUGAUAGAAGAUGAAGAUGGCUAAGCCACAGAGCUUGUGUUACAACAGUGACAUUUGUUGCUCCAUGGGGUCAGAUAAGUGGCAAGAUACAGGCCUGCUGGUGAGGAGUCCUGGGAGGAGUAGGAGAGUCUCUUAAAGCAGAUGUUUGAACAUGAUCAGACUUGUAUUUGGCCAUCUAGAGAAGAAAGAAUAAGAGAACAUCACAGGCAGGCAACUGAAGGCCGAGGUCACUGGUAAUGAGACAGAGCGGCCUUGUAGAUAAAAAGGGAGGACAUAUCAAGUGCUCACGGCAGGGAGAGAGGCGUGUCACUAAUUCCACACGUGGACAAGACACAAGAGUGGGCCGGCUGCUGUGCUGCCUCCCUCAAUGAGGGUAGUCCGAACCCCAUGGCUACAGGAACCCCAAGGGGACAACUGACUUCAUCAUGGACACUUCUCCCCUUUUCUCUACACCAGGACAGGUCUUGAUGUCUGUCAACAAGGCUUUCAGUGCCCUGCCCCACCCCAUCACACCCCACUAACUCCAUACCCCACAGCCACGCAAGUCUGCUUCCUCCAAAUCAAGGACACAGCCCAUAUCUUCUUUGAUCCACUCCCACGAAGCCUCUGGCCUGACUGGAACUUACAGAAAUAAUCUAGGUUGUGUGAAGGAUGGUGGAUGUCUUGAAUAGCCAGGCACCAACACCAGAAUUGUUGCAGUUCAGCCUUGCAAAUGACCAGAGUGAGAUGCCGUGACCAUUAGACACACCGCAGACAAGUAAAUGGAAACUUGAUAAAGCCAAGAGUGACGACAUAUCAAACUUCUAAGAACCAGUAUAUAGGGCU